rnacentral:rRNA from 1 species
UCCAGACUCCUACGGGAGGCAGCAGUGGGGGAUAUUGCACAAUGGGGGAAACCCUGAUGCAGCGACGCCGCGUGAGUGAAGAAGUAUUUCGGUAUGUAAAGCUCUAUCAGCAGGGAAGAAAAAAGACGGUACCUGACUAAGAAGCCCCGGCUAACUACGUGCCAGCAGCCGCGGUAAUACGUAGGGGGCAAGCGUUAUCCGGAUUUACUGGGUGUAAAGGGAGCGUAGACGGCAAUACAAGUCGGAAGUGAAAUACCCGGGCUCAACCUGGGAACUGCUUUGGAAACUGUAUGGCUGGAGUGCUGGAGAGGUAAGCGGAAUUCCUAGUGUAGCGGUGAAAUGCGUAGAUAUUAGGAGGAACACCAGUGGCGAAGGCGGCUUACUGGACAGUAACUGACGUUGAGGCUCGAAAGCGUGGGGAGCAAACAGGAUUAGAUACCCCAGUAAA